rnacentral:rRNA from 1 species
GGCGGAGCAUGUUGCUUAAUUCGAGGCAACGCGAAGAACCUUACCUGGGUUUGACAUGUCGAGAAAAGCCGUAGAGAUACGGUGUCCGCAAGGGUUCUACACAGGUGGUGCAUGGCUGUCGUCAAGCUCGUGUCGUGAGAUGUUGGGUUAAGUCCCGCAACGAGCGCAACCCUUGUCCUAUGUUGCCAGCACGUAAUGGUGGGGACUCGUAGGAGCCUGCCGGGGUCAACUCGGAGGAAGGUGGGGACGACGUCAAGUCAUCAUGCCCCUUAUGUCCAGGGCUGCAAACAUGCUACAAUGGCCGAUACAAAGGGCUGCGAGACUGCGAAGUUGAGCGAAUCCCAAAAAGUCGGUCUCAGUUCGGAUUGGAGUCUGCAACUCGACUCCAUGAAGUUGGAGUCGCUAGUAAUCCCGGAUCAAGCAACGCCGGGGUGAAUACGUUCCCGGGCCUUGUACACACCGCCCGUCACACCACGAAAGUCGC